GGUAAUUCUGAAUAAUGUCCCUAACAGCCCCUCAUAGGGGAAGCACAGCUCUCACCUCUCCCAGUGAGGCCACUGCAGAUGCCGCCAUCAACCCCAAUGAGCCUGCAGACGGCGCCAUUAUCCCCAGUGGGCCUGCAGACCCUGCCAUCCUCUCCGGUGGGCCUGCAGACGCCGCCAUCAAUCCCGGUGGGCCUGCGGACGCCGCCAUCAGACGCCGACGAUGCAGUCCCCUCCCCCUCUCCCUGACUGAGGUUGCCAGAUGCGCAGCCGAAUCCAGCUCGACCCAAAACUAAAGAGGAGACAUUUUACCAAGCAGGUGUGAAAGCCAGUGGCUCCACUCCCAGAUGCCAGAGAGGUGUGCAAGAGAAGACAGACAAGCGGCAGCAGAGCAGCGGAGACAAACACCACAGACUGACUGUUACGGCACACGCGCAGUCUGCUUCUCCCUCCUCUGCGGCUAGAGGCUCCGCUGACAGCGCGCUCGGACACGGCCCUGCUCACGCUGAGAGAAGCACGCCCAUGCAGCUCUGAUGAGAGCGAGCUGCUUAAAGGACCAGUGGCCCCAGGGAUCCUGGCGGGAACUUAGUUCUCAAAUGGUGUACCUGUUUUCCUUCCGUUGCCCUGGAUCUCGACUGCCUCCCUCGUUCCUCGACUCCUCGCUCGCCCCUGGACUGACGCCUCUCUCUCGCCCCGGAUCACCUGCCUGUCCCAUGGACUGCCCCGUUCCUUCGCUGUCAUCAACACUUGGUAACACACACUUCAGCUAACUACACGCAUAGCCUCACACACACACACACACACUUGGGUUUGACACACUCCAUUUCCUUGGGUUAGCUUAUUUGUUAGUAUUGUUUUGUAUUGUUAUAUAUAUAUAUUGAUUAUAUAUAUAAUAAAUUAUUGU